GAGAGAAGAGGGAGGCAGGAGCAAAAGAGUUUGGAGACCUUGCGGGUUACGCACAUCGAAAGCACCGAUGGCGCGAAAGGACCAUUAGCCAUAGUCCUGGGGAAAUACGCAGAAGCAGUAUUCCAUGUCUCUUCUCUGCCCUGUUAUUGAUGGGAAACCAACUGGACCGGAUCACACACCUGAACUACAGCGAGCUACCCACCGGGGAUCCAUCGGGCAUCGAGAAGGACGAGUUGCGUGUUGGCGUGGCGUACUUCUUUUCCGAUGAGGAGGAAGAACUGGACGAUAGAUCUCAGUCGGACAGCUUUAAAGACAACAACAGCCCGAGCAAGGACGGUCCGGUGGCGCUCAAUGAGAUCGAGUACUCGGCGUUCUGCUGCCAGGAAUGUAUAUAUUCCAAACUGCGGGAGAACGAGGACCUGAAUGUCUAUUCGGUGAAAACUUUAUUAACCAUGUGCAAACCCGGGGAUCUACUGGAGUUCGUGGCCAACGCGCAGGCCCCGCACUGGGCGAUCUUUGAAGGGGAGGACCAGGUUAUUCACCUGUACAAAGGGGAGAUCCGCAAGGCCAGCUUGUUUGAGAUCAGCUGCGGUCGGCAGGGCAGGAUAGUAAACAAUCGUUACCGGUACCGGCCGCUGCCUGCUGAUUUGGUGAUGCAGAACGCGAGCGGGCACCUGGGGCUCAGCAGCGACGAGAUUUGCUGGACGAACUCGGAAAGUUUCGCCGCCUGGUGCCGCUUCGGGAAACGGGAAUUUAAAGCGGGCGGCGAGGUGCACUCGGUCGAGCAGCGAUACUUUCUAAAGGUGCACCUGUCCGAGAGCACCGUGCACACGCUCAUGUUCCGCAGCCUCGAAGAGAUGAUACGAGAGAGGCGGCGCGUGGACGCCAGUGGAAUUCUGAAGGAGCUGUCGCUGGUCAACGGGAAGGAAUGAGGGGGAUUUCAUAUAGUCUCGUUGUGGACCGAUUGGAACUCUGCAUGCCUUGAACAAGGGCUGCUUACCCUUACCUUAUGACUUUCGGAGGGACGUGCAUAUUUGUGUGAAAAUAUGGUACAAAGACAACGCCCCUUUUGAUUAUGGUGUGAGAACCGAUGACCCCACUAAAGUCACUCUGUACCUUUAAAACGGAAAAAGAUAAAAAAUUUAAGAUGUGCCAGUCUAAGCCGUUAAUAUGGAAAGUAGAAGACUGUGCAAAACUGCAAAUGAAAGAAAACAAGUGGGACGGGUUUCUAAUGGCUUGGGAAAGAUUGCACACCAACUGUCAGAUGAGUUCUUUGUUGAUGUUACAGGCUUAGCCUUGUUAGUGUACUGACAAGCACUGUUGAGAACUACCAGACGUUAACUAACACACACACACACACACACACAGUCUUGGUCCACAAUGCACCAUCAGUGCUAUCUAGGUGUGUUUCUCCACCACAUUGUUUGUCACAUUCACCAAAACCAGCAGCCCCAGUAACCUACUUUUCACUAGAUGAUUUGUGGGAUCUCCUUCCUCGACUUUACCCAACCCAACAACCCCCCCACCACGCCUGCCACCGCCGCCUCAGUUUAGCUUUUUCUGACGUGACAAUCAGUCAACUGUCCUGUACCAAUUCCUUUUUUUUUUUUUUACUUUGGCUGGAAAUUUAGGAUAGUGGAGCAGCGGGCUAUAUGUGGAGAAUGAGGACAGGAGUGAAAGAACAAUAGGAUGAGGGACUAGAUGUUGCCAACAUGAGUUGAACAGAAUAUCUUUAGCCUGAACAAAGUCUGUCUCACAGUGAUAUGCCGUAUGUGCCUCUGUGUGUGUUGAGAGAGCGAGAGCCUGUCACACUUCAUAACCUGUUACUGGGGAAACCUCAGCCAGUCAUUUAGCUUGCGCCUACUAAAUAUUAUUUUACUUAAAGCCUGGGGAGAGAGUGCAUGGAUUUCCAACCUCUUUAAUAAUGGCUUGUUGUUUUUGUGUUGAUUAAACCACUACAGAUAACACAUUUGCUUCUGCUGAGGGAGAAUCGUGCAUAACAUCUGUGCUCUGCAGAAGUCCUGCCUCUCUUUCAGCCUCAAUCGGAUAUUCGUUUAAACCAGCAGGCUAGCUGGUAAUCUGCAAUUCAGGCUCCUUUGUGCUUUUUUUCCUUUUGGACAAUUUAAAAAUAAUUUAUUGUGACAAGCUUAUAUUUCUGAAAGGAAGGUGUUUAGGUGAUUCUUAAAAUAAGUUCCAUGUAAAUGUAUUCUAUGAAGAACCUUCAAGUUCCAUACGUUGUCAAUACCAUGUUACUUGAAUAUGGUAAUCAUUUAAUACCAUGGUAGAUAUCAAAGUACCAUGGUAUUUACAGAUUAAACAUUUGUUGUAAAGCCCAAUGAAAAUUUUUUAGAUGUGUGUUUACUAUUGUUUGUUUUGUUUUUUUGCAUUGAAGCCACACUCAUUCUACCAUUUUACCUAUUCUUUUAUAAUUUAUUUGAAAUACCAUGUUAUUUUGGACCUUUGAAUUACCUUACUAUGUAAAUACCAUGUAAGAUGAAUUUGGUAAUCAUUGAGUACCUGAUACCAUCAUUGUACCAUGGUAAUGCCACAGACCUUUUUGAAAGGAGCAUCUUUAUCUGUAUGCAGAAGAAAUAAUCAUGAUAAUCUGUUACUGGUGUAUUCAUAAUGAUUCUGUACAACUAAGGGUUCAGUGAGGUGUGUAAACUAACAGAACAUACUGAAUUGGUCAGAACCAAAUUCAGUACGUUUACAUGAAGAAUGACUAACAGACCUAGAUAAUGCGAUUGUAGCUCAGUUUUGUUCAGCAUUUAAACACGUCAUUGGUUAUUUCAUUACAACUACUCGGGAAGCACCGCUUCCCCAAAGAAAUGCAGCAACCACAAGUUUUCUAUAUGUACAAGUAAUCUUUAUAAAUUGCAUAUGCAGUAUUUUAGUGAAUAAAAGUGUAAAAUCAUUAAAGCGCCAUUCUUUCAA